rnacentral:rRNA from 1 species
CAGUGAACAAUUAAACGGCCGCGGGUACCCUAACCGUGCAAAGGUAGCAUAAUCAUUUGUCUAUUAAUUGUAGACCAGUAUGAAAGGCAAAAUGAGGACCUGUCUGUCUCUUACAAUAAAUCAAUUAAACUGAUCUCCUAGUAAAAAAGCUAGAAUACACACACAAGACCAGAAGACCCUGUGAAGCUUAAACUAAACUAUUAAACCCUAUAAUAGCUACUUUCGGUUGGGGCGACCUUGGAAAAAAAAAGAACUUCCAAACACAUGACCACACUCACACACAGGCCCACAAGCCAUACACCAGACCCAGUACAACUGACAAUUGAACCAAGUUACUCCAGGGAUAACAGCGCCAUCUUCUUCAAGAGCCCAUAUCAAAAAGAAGGUUUACGACCUCGAUGUUGGAUCAGGACAUCCUAAUGGUGCAGCCGCUAUUAAGGGUUCGUUUGUUCAACGAUUAAUAGUCCUACGUGAU